rfam:Morus notabilis contig24028, whole genome shotgun sequence.
GAUGCUAUGAUGAGACGAAGCACUUGGUUGUGUUGAGGGGCAGUGGACGGGAUCACUUAAUUGUGUUCUCGCCGUGAGCCUAUUAUAAUUAACGACUUCUCCUUCCUCUGAGCUCU